CAAGAUGUAGUGAUGCACAGUGUGUUAGUAUUAUCACACAUGGGUCUGAUCCUGCUAAAUGCGAUAGCCAAUGUAGGUUACUAUGUUGAACGGGGAUUAUCAGUGUCCACACAACCUGACCUGAUUUUUCGGUAAAGGUGCUUCACCGCUUCACACACCAUGGACUCAUCGCUCGGUAACCUCGCAGGAAAAGUUGCAUUAAUUACAGGUGCCAGUUCUGGUAUUGGUGCCGCAACUGCAGUCCUUUUCUCCAAACUUGGCGCUCAGGUUGCCCUGACAGGAAGGAAGGAGGAGAAUCUCCAGCAGGUUGGAGCCGAGUGUGAGAAGAGUACGUCUCAAAAGCCAUUCCUUGUCACAGGAGACCUGGUGAAGGAAGCCGAUGUGAAAAAUGUCCUUGAUGCGACAGUCAAACACUUUGGUAGACUGAAUAUUCUGGUGAACUGUGCAGGUAUCAUAGAGCUGGGUAGCAUUGAGAACACAUCCCUUGAGCAGUAUGACAGAGUCAUGGAUGCAAAUGUCAGGUCAGUGCUCCACCUUACGAUGUUGGCAGUGCCAUACCUCACCGAAACCAAGGGCAACAUUGUCAACGUCUCCAGUGUCAAUGGCAUGAGAUCGUUUCCAGGUGUCCUGGCCUAUAACAUGUCAAAGAGUGCCAUUGACCAUUUCACCAGAUGUGUGGCUUUAGAGUUGGCUCCCAAACAAGUUCGUGUAAACAGUGUAAACCCAGGGGUGAUAGUCACCAAUCUUCAGAAGCGAGGAGGUCUGGACGAGGCCAGAUAUGCGCAGUUCCUUGAAAGGUCAAAGGAAACCCAUGCACUUGGACGCCCAGGAAAUCCAGAAGAGGUUGCAAGAACCAUUGCCUUUGUUGCUUCAGAUGAUGCUUCUUUCAUUACGGGAGCACAGGUGCCCUGUGACGGAGGGAGGCAUGCAAUGUGCCCAAGAUAAAUCCUCAAUAGAUACAGUUGUGUUGUAUGUUUGUAUGAGAAAUACUUUUAACUUUAUCAUUCAAAAUACUGCACAAUUCAACAUGUGGUAAUAAAUCCUGAUAAUUGAUCCUGGUAAUUAUUCAUGAUGCAUACUUUUCCAAUUGAAUGAUUUAUAUCAAAGAAUACACUGUCUGAUUGUGGUAUCCCUGCUAAACUACAACAUUUUAUCUUGGUGAUCCCGACACGAUAUUGCUGGAAUUUUGCUAAAAGUUAGGUAAGGGUCCGUUCAUAAUUUAUGGUUAGGGGGUGAUGAUGAUUUUAAUGGGGGAUCACCCAUUUUGUUCUGGGGAGGUUGCUUCAGAUGAUGCUGAUGUUGGGAGUGGUCACAUGUACAAGGGGGUGGGUCAGCAAUUUUGCACAUGACAUGCAGGUGGGGUGGUGGUGUUAUUUACUUUGUACAUGAAUACUGAAUAUAAGGCAUGUCCUGCACAUUGUCAGGGGUGGAAAUAACCCAUUGCCCGACGCCUGAGUCCAGCGUUUUUUUCUGUCGGACCAGCAAAUUGUAUAUCACACUGUACCGGUGUCCAGUUGACUUUCCAAUGUUAAUUAUGUUGUUUAUUUAAAGAAUCAACAAGAAAACGGCCGGUAUAGUGGAAAAAUCAUCAGGGCAAGUGAUUUUGCAUGUGCCACUGUAUCGGAGUACACUAGCAAUUUUAAAGUUAUUUCCACCCCUGAUUGUACAUGCUUCUCCAUAAAAAUCAUUAAAAUCAACCGAGCUAUUAAAUAUGAACGUUGCCUGAAACCAAACUCACUCACUGUAUCUUGUGACCUGCAUUUUCAAACUGGUUGAUGUCUGGCCCAGAUGUACAUAGCAGCUUCACCCACAUGCGCUAUAUACAUGUUGCUAUAUACAUGUGCUAUAAUCUUCAACACUAUCUCCAUCUCCUUGACAGCUCCCCUACUCAACUUGUCAACCUAGAGUUACGAAAUGAUCUUAACUUCAUCUUUUAAAACAUAACACAUUAUUCCAUACUUGUGAGUAAUCUUGCAGUGUGAUUCAUGAUGCAUUACCUUCUGACAUGACUGGGGAUCAUCUGAACACUUCUAUGCCCGUGUUGGAUUGUGAGGAGAUAGACAAGAUUCUUCAGCCUGUCAUCUUGAAUAUGCAUAAUCUGAUCAGCUGGAACUAUGCUGUUGCAGUAUGUUAUCGGAUAAAUUUUCAUGUAUAAACAAUAAAGUUUCAUAAUGCUACAUGCAUACUUUUUUAACAUGCGUAAUAAACUGCCUUGCGAAAGUG